CCGACGCCGACAGAGGCAGCGACUGAGACUGCGACUGCGACUGCAGCAGAGGCGCAUCACAAAUGAGUCAAAACAUUGACUCCCAAGAAAACAACCAAACGGAAUUGAUUGGCGACUACAAAUUGGCGAACAACAAAGUUUUAAAAAAUAGAAGGGCACUGAAAAAGAUUUACAUAUAAGCUUUGAUUCACUGUGAAAUUAUUAAACUGAAAUAACUGAUAUCAAAGAUCAUUUAAAUAGAUCACUUUGAUUUUGGUGUAAAACAGCGUGAAAGAGGCGGAAAUGGUGGAGAGAGGGGCUGACAGCGGAGAUAGCAAAAAUACUGGCAAAAUCAAAACACGCACUCAGAAAACAACAAACUAGAUGAGGAGACUGAUUAAAACGAUCCGAAGUUGGAAUACACUUCAAGGUCACAAAGACAACAAUAAUCACCUAUCAUCAAAGGAAUAAACCCGCGGCAAAGAAUCAUAUUUAAGUGGGCUAAUUAUCUUAACUAAAAUAAACUAUAUUCGCAGAAGCUUGAUUGACACAAUCUAAA